ACGGAAAAAGCGACUGAGACACAGAGUCCCCCCCAGGAAACCUGAGCCCCUGGUUAAGCCGCAGCCCCAGGCCCAGGUGGAGCCUGUGGGCCUGGAGAUGUUCCUGAAGGCAGCUGCUGAGAACCAGGAGUACCUGAUUGACAACUCCACCGCACCGCCUUGCACUGGGCCUGUCUGAAGGGUCACAGCCAGCUGGUGAACAAGCUGCUGGUGGCAGGUGCCACAGUGGACGCGCGAGACUUGCUGGACAGGACACCUGUGUUCUGGGCCUGCCGCGGAGGACAUCUGGACAUCCUCAAACAGCUGCUUAACCAGGGAGCCCGGGUCAAUGCCCGGGACAAGAUCGGGAGCACCCCCCUGCACGUGGCAGUGCGCACCCGGCACCCCGACUGCCUGGAGCACCUCAUCGAGUGUGGCGCCCACCUGAACGCACAGGAUAAGAGGAUCCACCUGGUUCAUGAACCCUCCCUCACUGCUCUCUGCACAUCACGGCCACACAGCACCUGCAGGGAGGCUGUGGGGAGGUGUGGAGCAGGUGCAACAGGCAGCUACUCUCCUGGGGGCCACACGGCGGAGAGAGGAUUCGAUGCAGCAUGACGAUCCCUUCCUCCCAGGCAUGACCUCUUCUCAGAACACGGGAACUGACAACACUGCGAGUGGCAACUCAGCAGAUCUGGGGCUGCCUAGUGAGCCAUUAAACGCCUGGGUUCCGCCCAGGGCUGCCUUCCACCGGGACGCCGGGCCUGCUGUGGCUGGACCCUACAGGAGACAAGGGAAGGAGAAUUAACAUCAAAGCUGGUUGAAAAUGAAGCAGUGGGCUCAUGCCCAUCUGCACAAGGCCCCCCAGGCAGAGCUGGCAGAGCUGGGAUCCAGCUCCAGGUCCGUGCACCUCCAUGACAUGGAUGCAGUUUAGACAAGGAUGCAUCCAGUGGAGAACACAAAUGCCUCACACAUCAGCCAGCCUGCACAUGCAGGCUAACAAGGGCACUGACUCUGGAAACACAGGCUCUCCUGCGACAGUCCACACGGGGCAGCUGAGUGGGGCCACCCAGCCUGACUGUCCUUGGGAGGAUUUCCUAAGUCUUUUUCUUCUUAAAUAUAUAUGCUGUCCAUCCUACAUAAA
rnacentral:sRNA from 1 species